CAGUUCUGCCAUCUUUCCUCCACAGGUGUUCGUGGUUGACUGGUGGGUGGAGACGCACACCUGCGACUCAUCCAGCAGCACCAGAGUGGCCUACAAGAACAGCGCUCGAACAGCGAGAGGACGCCAGAGUGUUUUCGUUGCAGUUACCUUCUCGAGCUGCAAGGUUCCCUUUGUGACUCUCCAGUUCCUCCGUCCUCCUUCCGAGUCGAUAACCUCACCUCUGGAUCCAAGACUCCCGCCAACAUCCUCCGGUUCCUCUCGCUGCUCUGGAUCUCGGUACCCACGGUGCUGCUCGGACCUCCUCGCCCCGCUCACCAGCCACCCGGACAUCUGCCAUCAACAACAGAGCUGAGUCCACACACACACCAUCCUCCCCGGCCGUGUUCUCUCGCACCUCGUGAUCGAUCCGGUUCCCUGGUCCCGAGCCCGUCCAAGCCGUCUCCUCCUUCCGCAGAUUAGUUCUGCCGUCUUGUGACCCG